GUUGACAAUAUUUUACCGCGAAAGAGAGGCCAACGUUUGCGCUACAGAAUUCGAAGUUAAAAAGAAUAUCAGUUUGUUUUGCUUGUCACAAAGCGUGCAUAUUACAGGACUAAUCAUCCCAAACAGUUCCAUCGUCAAGUGAUAACCCCGGGAUUUCUGCAUCAUGUUCUACACGAUCUUCCAGACAGCGUAGGAGAAAAUUUGUCGGGCGGUGAAUCCUCCAUAAACGGCGUGUUGAUGAGAAAACACAUCAGUAUAAAUGGUAUGAGGGCAAUGUAUUGGACUGUGUGGAAAGUAAAGAUGGACGAGAUGGUGCUGUGUAUGAAGUCCAGUACAAGGGCAAGAAGGAGAAGGUUUUAGUGAAUGAACUACAGCAGGAUUUGGAUAAUGGUGCAGUGAGAUUCAUAGACAUAUAAUUUAGAUGAUCGCGUAAAGGAUGGGAGGGUGCAGUGCAGUAUAAAGACGAUGAGGGGAACGUUUUGGUGGAUCAUCAUUCAGAUAUUGGUCCAGUGAAAUUUACAGACAUCUUUUAGGAGAUAUGUCCCUUGAAAACAAUCAGAAGAGACAUGUAACGGCUGGGAUGGUGUAGUGCGGUACAAAGACGAUGAGAGGAAAGGUUCGAUUGAUUAUCAUGACCUACAGCAGGAUUGAGAUAUUGGUUCAAUGAAGUUCAUAGACAUCUAUUCAGGUAUGUAAUGUUGUAAUGAUGUAAAACAUGUUUUUUUCAGCAUUAUUAAAUCCAUAAAGAAUAGGGAUUGUUUUGGCUUCAAAUAAAAAUCGGUUGAACAUAUAUAUAUAUAUAUAGCAUGGUGCUUCAGAUAGCUUACAUAAUAGAUGUGUUCAAAAGAAAUACCAUCUUUUUUUGUUUUUUUAA